rnacentral:lncRNA from 1 species
GCUUAGUAUUGCGGUUUUGGGCCAUUUGAAUGAAGAAAGUUGCAGAUUUUCUUUGUCUCUUAACUUACUCUUGAUUGUCUUAGCUCAUUGAUGGUGAAAAACCAUUCAUUUCUACUUCCAUUUGCUUGUUCUUGAUGCUUGGAGUUUGAGUUUUGGAGCUUGUUCUUGCAUUUCCAUGGUGGAUGUUGGUUUUGAGUAACUUUGUAUUUCGUUUUCCUCUUCAUUUGCUGUUGUUCUUCUCGUUUUUCCUUGCAUUUCAUUUGGUUGGAUGAUAAAAAUGGAGUUCUAUGUGAGUUUUGGGUUGAAGAGAGCUUAAGUUGAUGUGUGGUGUUGUGGUUUGGACCCUUUCUUCUUGGUUUUCGUUUUUGAUGUUUGAAACAAGGAAUGGACCAGAUUUUUGUAUUGUUAUGGUGGCUGGACAGAGCUGGAAUUGAUAGC